rnacentral:rRNA from 1 species
UACGUAGGGUGCGAGCGUUAAUCGGAAUUACUGGGCGUAAAGCGUGCGCAGGCGGUUCGUUAUGUCCGAUGUGAAAGCCCCGAGCUCAACUUGGGAAUGGCAUUGGAAACUGGCGGGCUGGAGUGUGGCAGAGGGGGGGUGGAAUUCCACGUGUAGCAGUGAAAUGCGCAGAGAUGUGGAGGAACACCGAUGGCGAAGGCAGCCCCCUGGGCCAACACUGACGCUCAGGCACGAAAGCGUGGGGAGCAAACAGG